AUUGAACGCUGGCGGCAUGAUUUACACAUACAAGUCGAACGGUAACAGGCCGCAAGGUGCUGACGAGUGGCGAACGGGUGAGUAAUGCAUCGGAACGUGCCCAGUCGUGGGGGAUAACGCAGCGAAAGCUGCGCUAAUACCGCAUACGAUCUAUGGAUGAAAGCGGGGGACCGUAAGGCCUCGCGCGAUUGGAGCGGGCGAUGUCAGAUUAGGUAGUUGGUGGGGUAAAGGCUCACCAAGCCAACGAUCUGUAGCUGGUCUGAGAGGACGACCAGCCACACUGGGACUGAGACACGGCCCAGACUCCUACGGGAGGCAGCAGUGGGGAAUUUUGGACAAUGGGGGCAACCCUGAUCCAGCAAUGCCGCGUGCAGGAAGAAGGCCUUCGGGUUGUAAACUGCUUUUGUACGGAACGAAACGGUCUUGGUUAAUACCCGAGGCUAAUGACGGUACCGUAAGAAUAAGCACCGGCUAACUACGUGCCAGCCGCCGCAGUAACAC
rnacentral:rRNA from 1 species